rnacentral:misc_RNA from 1 species
CCCUCGCGGCCCAACCUCCCACCCUUGUCUCUAUAUAACCUGUUGCUUUGGCGGGCCCACCUGUGGCCAGGUCGCCGGGGGACGUCUGUCCCCGGGCCCGCGCCCGCCGAAGCGCCCUGUGAACCCUGAUGAAGAUGGCUGUCUGAGUCGUAUGAGAAUCGUUAAAACUUUCAACAAUGGAUCUCUUGGUUCCGGCAUCGAUGAAGAACGCAGCGAAAUGCGAUAAGUAAUGUGAAUUGCAGAAUUCCGUGAAUCAUCGAAUCUUUGAACGCACAUUGCGCCCCCUGGCAUUCCGGGGGGCAUGCCUGUCCGAGCGUCAUUUCUGCCCUCAAGCACGGCUUGUGUGUUGGGUGUGGUCCCCCCGGGGACCUGCCCGAAAGGCAGCGGCGACGUCCGUCUGGUCCUCGAGCGUAUGGGGCUUUGUCACUCGCUCGGGAAGGACCUGCGGGGGUUGGUCAACACCACAUUUUACCACGGUUGACCUC